AGUUAAACAGUACGUGAAAUUGUUGAAAGGGAAACGAUUGAAGCCAGUCGUACCUUCGGGUAAUCAGCCUUUCGGGUGCGAUUCUGUGGGGUUUGAGGAGCUUAACACCUUCAUGCUUUGCAUAUUCGUGCUCUUGGGUGUACUUGCCCGUGUGGUUGGUUAACAUCAAUUUCGGGCACCAUAAAAUGGCUGGAGGAAUGUAGCUUCGAUCCUGUAUUGAAGUGUUAUAGCCUUCGGUAGAUGUGGUGAUCGAGAUUGAGGAUUGCAACGGAUACCUUUCGGGGCUACCUGUCUGAUCUCUGAUCGUUGCUUUGGUGCUGAAAGCGUGCUUAUAGUUAUCAAAGUCGAUGGUUAAUAGGUUAGAAUGGGUUAAAUUCGUUAAGGAUGUUGACGUAAUGGCUUUAAA
rnacentral:misc_RNA from 1 species